rnacentral:rRNA from 1 species
GUAGGUGGCAGGCGUUGUCCGGAAUUAUUGGGCGUAAAGCGCGCGCAGGCGGUUCGUUUAAGUCUGAUGUGAAAGCCCACGGGCUCAACCGUGGAGGGUCAUGGGAAACUGGAGAACUUGAGUACAGAAGAGGAAAGCGGAAUUCCACGUGUAGCGGUGAAAUGCGUAGAGAUGUGGAGGAACACCAGUGGCGAAGGCGGCUUUCUGGUCUGUAACUGACGCUGAGGCGCGAAAGCGUGGGGAGCAAACAGGAUUAGAUACCCUGGUAGUCCACGCCGUAAACGAUGAGUGCUAAGUGUUAGGGGGUUUCCGCCCCUUAGUGCUGCAGCUAACGCAUUAAGCACUCCGCCUGGGGAGUACGGCCGCAAGGCUG